rnacentral:rRNA from 1 species
UACAGAGGUCCCAAGCGUUGUUCGGAUUCACUGGGCGUAAAGGGUGCGUAGGCGGUCGGGUAAGUCUGAUGUGAAAUCUCACAGCUUAACUGUGAAACUGCAUUGGAUACUAUUCGGCUAGAGAGUUGGAGGGGGGGACUGGAAUUCUUGGUGUAGCAGUGAAAUGCGUAGAUAUCAAGAGGAACACCAGUGGCGAAGGCGAGUCCCUGGACAACUUCUGACGCUGAGGCACGAAAGCUAGGGGAGCAAACAGG